GGGGACGUAGUGUAGCGGUUAACAUGUCGGCCUGUCAAGCCGAAGAUCGCGGGUUCGAAUCCCGUCGUCCCCG
rnacentral:tRNA from 1 species